AGUGGGAACGAUAGAUAGGGAUAUAUAUGCGUCAGUUUGGCUCACCAGUUGUGCUGGGAGCGGCGCCUGGGGCAGAGAUCAUCGAUUGUUACCCCUUACAGAUCAAAUUCUGCUGGCUUGGCGGGUUUUGUGUGUUGAAAAACAUAGACGAGUCCGACGACGGCUACGAACACUAAUUUUGCGUUUUUUUCUCUCAUGCUAUCUCUUUCUUCGCAGCGACACCAUAAAACGGGCGGCUGCUUCCUGACAGUUUUUUACUAGCCCCAUUUUGGCUACCAAAGGCCAAUUUGUAGAGAAACGGACAUACGGACAUCGUUAGUUUGCCCCAAAAACCACACACAUAUGUGGAUUUCUCUUUAUAAACUGAAAUGUACACAUAUACAUACAUACAUACAUACGUAUGUAUACAUACCCCUUACAGUAAUCAUGAAAUUUCUUUCCCACAAUGACUAUGGUUGAUGAGAUGACGCCAAUUGUCGUCGACGCUGAGGAGAUGGGGAUUACCGUACAUGACCAAAAAUGCGCGGGCGCGCGCUAUGGCCAAAAUGGCUUAUAUGGUCUCCAGUGGAGCGCACAGUGGAAAUCAGCAUUAUGUCGCGCUCCUGGGUUAUAUUUGUAGAUCAAGAAUAUACAUUACAUACUAUAUAGAUUGCAUAAGA